CACGUAGCUCAGCAGGAUAGAGCAACUGCCUCCUAAGCAGUAGGCCGGAGGUUCGAAUCCUCUCGUG
rnacentral:tRNA from 1 species